rnacentral:rRNA from 1 species
CAAUAGCGUAUAUUAAAGUUGUUGCAGUUAAAAAGCUCGUAGUAGGAUUUCUGGUCGGAAGCUCCUGUCCUCUGAUGAGCGUACAAGUGCGUCCUACCAUCCUUCUGUUAACCUUUAAGGCUUUCGCGGCUUUCUAGGGGCUCAGAUAUUUUACCUUGAGAAAAUUAGAGUGUUUCAGGCAGGCUAGCGCCGGAAUACAUUAGCAUGGAAUAAUGGAAUAGGACUUUUGCCUCUUCUGUUGGUCAUGAGGCUCGAGUAAUGAUUAAUAGGGAUAGUUGGGGGCAUUAGUACUUAACUGUCAGAGGUGAAAUUCUCGGAUUUGUUAAAGACUAACUUAUGCGAAAGCAUUUGCCAAGGAUGUUUUCAUUAA